UGCUUAGAACAUGGUGUUAAUGCAUCAAAUCUCGUUAGAACUCCGCAGUUAAGUGCGCUCGGGCUAUAGUAUUAUUGGGAUGGGUGACUGACCAGGAAUUCCUAGUGUUUUACAUGC
rnacentral:rRNA from 1 species